rnacentral:rRNA from 1 species
GUCACGCCCUAAACGAUGUCAACUAGGUGUUGGUGGGUAAACCAUUAGUACCGGAGCUAACGCGUGAAGUUGACCGCCUGGGGAGUACGGCCGCAAGGUUAAAACUCAAAGGAAUUGACGGGGACCCGCACAAGCGGUGGAUGAUGUGGAUUAAUUCGAUGCAACGCGAAAAACCUUAACCUACCCUUGACAUGUUCAGGAGCCUGAAGAGAUUUGGGUGUGCCCGAAAGGGAACUGGAGCACAGGUGCUGCAUGGCUGUCGU